GGCUUCCGCUGGAGUAAAGCAAGAGGGCCCAGGGUUCAUGUUAUUCCCUGGAAGGUGGAAAAGGACAGACCACCAGGGAGCCUCCACUGCAAACUGACCUUCGCUGCCUGCACUGGCUGGAUGUUCCUUGAGCCUUCACUCUGCAUCUGGGCAGUCUUCCAGCCCACUGAGAGUGGCAGUGGUAGGAAGCUGGUGGAAGCGAAUCCCUCUGCAUCAGUUGAGUUCCUAGGGUGGCCACAUGGGGGCUGCCCAACCUUGGCAGUCCUGCACACAAGUAGGAUGUGGUCUCCGCCCGUGAUUGGGUACCUGGUCAGGCUGGCAGAUCCAAAUGGUGCCCAGUGGGCAGCUAGCUGUCCAACCCCUGGGGGGGCAAGCCAGGAAAGAACCUCUUAGGGCCCGCUGUGACCAGAUGUCCCUCCCAGCAGGGAAGACUAAACUGGUUUGGCCAAUACCUCCCAGGAUUCCCCUGUCCAAAUUAUUCCUGGGAUCUGACCCAUUUCCUGAAAAGGGCCGAGCCUGGGUUUUAAAGUUCAAACUACUUGAGUUUAAAUCACAACUCUGCCCCUAAUCCCAUGUAACCCUGUGCACCUUACUCCCCGCUAAGCUUUCCUCUCGUGUGUAACUCUGCUAACUCCUGAGAGACUGGACAAGAUGCCAUGGAGAGCCUUGGCUCUGAGUAGCUCUGCUGCUGGACAGUCAGUUGGCAGUCCCCAAAUGUAAGGCAUAAGAGUUUAAGAAGUAUUGGCCUGAGCCGGGUGCGGUGGCUCAAGCCUGUAAUCCCAGCACUUUGGGAGGCUGAGACGGGCGGAUCACGAGGUCAGGAGAUCGAGACCAUCCUGGCGAACACGGUGAAACCCCAUCUCUACUAAAAAAAUACAAAAAACUAGCCGGGCGAGGUGGCGAGCGCCUGUAGUCCCAGCUACUCAGGAGGCUGAGGCAGGAGAAUGGCGUGAACCCGGGAGGCGGAGCUUGCAGUGAGCUGAGAUCCGGCCACUGCACUCCAGCCUGGGCGACAGAGGAGACUCCCUCUCAAAAAAAAAAAAAAAAAGUAUUGGCCAGGCAGUGGCUCACACCUGUAAUCCCAGCACUUUGGGAUGCUGCGACGGGCCGAUCGCCUGAGGUUGGGAGCUUGAGAACAGCCUGAACAACAUGGAGAAACCCUGUCUCUACUAAAAAUACAAAAUUAGUUGGGCAUGGUGGUGCGCGCCUGUAAUCCCAGUUACUCAGGAGGCUGAGGCAGGAGAAUCGCUUGAACCCUUGAGGUGGAGGUUGCGUUGGGCUGAGAUCGUGCAAUUGCACCCCAGCCUGGGCAACAAGAGUGAAACUUGUCUCCAAAUAAAAAAAAAA
rnacentral:lncRNA from 1 species